rnacentral:lncRNA from 1 species
CACCAUGCUAUGGAGGAUGGUGUAGAUGUGCCUGGGUCUAGUCAGGUUAUAGAUGGUGCUGUAGAUGAGGCUGGGUCUAGUCAGGUUAUAGAUGGUGGUGGUGUAGAUGAGGCUGGGUCUAGUCAGGUUAUUGAUGGUGGUGUAGAUGAGGCUGGGUCUAGUCAGGUUAUAGAUGGUGUAGAUGAGGCUGGGUCUAGUCAGGCUAUAGAUGGUGGUGUAGAUGAGGCUGGGUCUAGUCAGGUUAUAGAUGGUGGUGUAGAUGAGGCUGGGUCUAGUCAGGUUAUAGAUGGUGGUGUAGAUGAGGCUGGGUCUAGUCAGGUUAUAGAUGGUGGUGUAGAUGAGGCUGGGUCUAGUCAGGCUAUAGAUGGUG